rnacentral:rRNA from 1 species
AACGCGAAGAACCUUACCUGGGCUCGAACGGCUUCUCAACGCCGGUGGAAACACCGGUAUCCCGCAAGGGAGUGGAGUCGAGGUGCUGCAUGGCUGUCGUCAGCUCGUGUCGUGAGAUGUUGGGUUAAGUCCCGCAACGAGCGCAACCCUUAUCUUCAGUUGCUACCAUUUAGUUGAGCACUCUGACGAAACCGCCUCGGAUAACGGGGAGGAAGGUGGGGAUGACGUCAAGUCCUCAUGGCCUUUAUGUCCAGGGCUACACACGUGCUACAAUGGCCGGUACAAACCGCUGCAAACCCGCGAGGGGGAGCUAAUCGGAAAAAGCCGGCCUCAGUUCGGAUUGGAGUCUGCAACUCGACUCCAUGAAGCUGGAAUCGCUAGUAAUCGUGGAUCAGCAUGCCACGGUGAAUACGUUCCCGGGCCUUGUACACACCGCGCAUA